ACGUGUAUGGUCAUUGCGCAGGUAACUGAACAAAAAACCUUAAAUAAAAAUUAACCAAACGUAUUUUAUAUUGUAUAAGGUCAUAUGGCGACAUCGGAGGAAGCCCUCAGCGCCUUUCCAAUCCUUAUUUCAGGUACGAGAGCUCAUCUAAGAUGGUCAAUAAACGAAGAAAAUAAUCAAAACUUUAUUUUGUUACAUUUUGCGUGUCCUUCAUAAAAAUGGAUAAGGUAUGUUUUAUGCUCUUUAAAAGUAUUAUUUGAAUGCUCUUACAAUAUGGUAUUUUAUAAUUUUGACCUCGUCAAAAUGUAUUGCAAUUUUGUACAGUCUAGUGUAGAAAUAGGCUUUAACGCCAUAUUAAAACUGUAUUCUUAUCUUUGAACGAAUAGUGUCAAGUUUGUGAUAGAUGUCAUAGUUUAUUAAAUGAUGAUAAGAGCAUUUUGAAAUUAUAACUUGAUUUUGACCAUGAAAGUUCUUUAUUUAUGUACAAUUAUAACAUGCAUUCUAGUAUGGGAUAUUAGUUGGUGCAUGUUGUGAAAAUGGGUGGAUAACAUUCGGAGAAUCUUGCUAUCUAUUUGACGAUGACCAUCAACUUAACUGGACAGAAGCAACGCAAACUUGUGUAUCUUAUGGCGGUUCGCAUUUGGUGACAAUUGAAAACGCAGAUGAAUUUUCAUUCCUUCAGAACCAUAGCAAGCGAUUGUUUAAAGACGGUUAAGUAUAUUAUUCAAUAACUUACACGAUACAUACAUUAAGAGUCGAACACACUGAUAAGACAGACGACGGUCGUCCGAUCAUUGUUUCGUGCUGGCUGGACGGUGGUUUCUAUAAUAGUUAGGAAGUCACACGUGGUUUGUGUAUCAUUUCUUAGGCCUUAAAUCAUAUGUUACUUCUUUACCAGCAGAUAUUUUUUCUUGUCUGUAUUGUUAAUGACUUUUGUCAUUGUCUAACCACUCAUCUAGAUAUAUUUAAUGUUUGAACCUUCUUUAAUCAGUGAAACAGUAUUACAGUAUCUAUAAAUUCUGGAUUGAAAAGAGUCUCCAAAACCAAUGACAAGACAAGCAAUUUCCCGAGCUUUACAUUUUCGAUUUUUUCAGUCAGUUCUUGUGAGGAAAUGUAAAGUGAAUCAUUCUUUGUGUCCUUUAUGCACAGACUUAAACAGUGUUUGCAAUCUUAACCACUUAGUAUUUGUGAUCAAUAAUAAGAAUGAUCCAGAAGUACCAGAACUAUAUAACGAAACUGAGAUCAAGUGUGGUAAAACUAAAUUAUAUAUGGCAUAUAAAAUCAUUUUGAGUUUUAUUUAUCAUGCAACACAUCAGAUAUAUUUGUUUCUUUUCUAAAAUAACUUAUCCUAGUACAAUGUUAUAAUUUUUAUAACAACAUCCACCAAAAGAGACAACUGGUUUUGGCUGGGUGCAACAGAUGGAGAGAUUGAAGGAAUAUGGGUAUGGUAUACCGACCGCACACUCCUCUCCAAUGGUUAUACCAGUUGGUAUCCAGGGCAACCAGAAACGAGUGAUAAAAAUAACCAAGACUGCGCAUGCCUUUGGGGUCAUGAAUCAUACACAUGGCACGAUUAUCACUGUGACCAGAAAUCAUUUUACAUUUGUGAACAGAGUUUGAAUGAGCCUAGUAUCAUUGGCUGAUUUAGCAUGAAUCAACGUUGAUAGUUAAAUGUUUGCAAUUGUUAUAUAUUUGAUUAUGCAACUGGAAAACCAAAGUGCCUCAGUAUAUCAUUCGAAAGGGUAGAUAAUGACCAAUAAAAAUAAAACAUGUUUGUUUAAAAAGGAUUUACUAUGAAUAAUUUUGCCAAUAUGAUAUAGUUACGAAUCUACUCAUUUACGUUUUUAAAAUCAAUUUCCCGUUGUUAUCGAAUAUAGAAUAGGGAUUAAAUAAGCACACAUUUUGUUAAAUAACUUCAGAUAUUCCAGACAUGUUAUGUGUACGAUCACGACAAUGUUACCACAUGUAUUUAAUGUGGUUUUGAAUUCAUUCAAAAUUAAUACGUGAAAUUAAUAGGUCUUAAUACGCCAAUUAUUGUUAUGCAUCCAUCAUUGUGUUAUCUAGUUUUUAACAGAUAAAUACAAAUACUAUGUUCCGGUUAUAAACUGACUCGUACAGUGUAGUAUAAUUUCUACACUCGAAUCUGUUAUUUCUUCUAUUCAAAACUCAAAACAUCAUGAACACUGCUUAUGAACAGUUAUGACAUCAACAACAACAUAAUGACCACUGCUUGCACCUUCAUGAGCACUGCUUACACCAUCAAAAAUGACUUGACAUAUAUCUAUUGAAACGGGCGUUGGCAAUGUUAAUUUCUCAAAAUAGUAAAUGUUUGCGAAUCAAGGAUUCAAAUUUGAAUAUUCUUAAACAGAUAAAACUUAAAAGUGCAA